rnacentral:tRNA from 1 species
GCCUGUAGCUUAGACAGGGAAAGCAUCUGCCUUGCAAGCAGAAAGACGUGGGUUCAAGCCCCACUGGGUCC